rnacentral:ncRNA from 1 species
CAGCGCUAUGCGCUGGGUAGGGGAGCAUUCUUAAGUGGCAGAAGCUACACCGUAAGGAGUGGUGGACACUUAAGAAGAGAGAAUGCUGGCAUGAGUAGCGAAAGGUGGGUGAGAAUCCCACCCGUCGAAAGCCUAAGGUUUCCUGAGGAAGGCUCGUCCGCUCAGGGUUAGUCGGGACCUAAGCCGAGGCCGAAAGGCGUAGGCGAUGGACAACAGGUUGAGAUUCCUGUACCACCUAUCUGCGCUAAAGAGAUGGGGUGACGCAGGAGGAUAGGUUGAGCGCACGGUUGGUUGAGUGCGUCCAAGCCGGUAGGAAGUUUCUACAGGCAAAUCCGUAGGAACAAUUCCGAGAGGUGAUGGGGAGCGAAAUAUAAGUAGCGAAGCAACUGAUUCCACACUGCCGAGAAAAGCCUCUAUCGAGUAGAUAGGUGCCCGUACCGCAAACCGACACAGGUAGGCGAGGAGAGAAUCCUAAGACGAGCGGGAGAACCCUUGUUAAGGAACUCGGCAAAAUGACCCCGUAACUUCGGGAGAAGGGGUGCCGGUUGAGGUGUAAGUCCUAGCGACUGAAGCCUUGGUCGGCCGCAGAGGAUAGGCCCAAGCGACUGUUUACCAAAAACACAGGUCUCUGCUAAGUCGAAAGACGAAGUAUAGGGGCUGACGCCUGCCCGGUGCUGGAAGGUUAAGGGGAAGUGUUAGCGUUAAGCGAAGCACUGAACUUAAGCCCCAGUAAACGGCGGCCGUAACUAUAACGGUCCUAAGGUAGCGAAAUUCCUUGUCGGGUAAGUUCCGACCCGCACGAAAGGCGUAACGACUUGGGCACUGUCUCAACAAGGGACCCGGUGAAAUUGUAGUACCAGUGAAGAUGCUGGUUACCCGCGGCAGGACGGAAAGACCCCGUGGAGCUUUACUGCAGGCUGACAUUGGAUUUUGGUAUCACAUGUACAGGAUAGGUGGGAGACUGAGAAAUCGGGGCGCCAGCUUCGAUGGAGUC